GACGAACGCUGGCGGCGUGCUUAACACAUGCAAGUCGAACGGUAAGGCCUUCGGGUACACGAGUGGCGAACGGGUGAGUAACACGUGGGUGAUCUGCCCCCUACUCUGGGAUAAGCCUGGGAAACUGGGUCUAAUACCGGAUAUGACCUCCUUCUGCAUGGUUGGUGGUGGAAAGUUUUUUCGGUAGGGGAUGAGCCCGCGGCCUGUCAGCUUGAUGGUGAGGGAAUGGCUCACAAUGGCUUCGACGGGUAGCCGGCCUGAGAGGGUGACCGGUCACACUGGGACUGAGACACGGCCCAGACUCCUACGGGAGGCAGCAGUGGGGAAUAUUGGACAAUGGGCGGAAGCCUGAUCCAGCAACGCCGCGUGAGGGAUGACGGCCUUCGGGUUGUAAACCUCUUUCAGUACCGACGAAGCGCAAGUGACGGUAGGUACAGAAGAAGCACCGGCCAACUACGUGCCAGCCGCCGCCGUAAGAC
rnacentral:rRNA from 1 species